ACAGAUAAGGAGCUUGCUCCUUUGACGUUAGCGGCGGACGGGUGAGUAACACGUGGGUAACCUACCUAUAAGACUGGGACAACUUCGGGAAACCGGAGCUAAUACCGGAUAAUAUGUUGAACCGCAUGGUUCAAUAGUGAAAGAUGGUUUUGCUAUCACUUAUAGAUGGACCUGCGCCGUAUUAGCUAGUUGGUGAGGUAACGGCUCACCAAGGCAACGAUACGUAGCCGACCUGAGAGGGUGAUCGGCCACACUGGAACUGAGACACGGUCCAGACUCCUACGGGAGGCAGCAGUAGGGAAUCUUCCGCAAUGGGCGAAAGCCUGACGGAGCAACGCCGCGUGAGUGAUGAAGGUCUUAGGAUCGUAAAACUCUGUUAUUAGGGAAGAACAAACGUGUAAGUAACUGUGCACGUCUUGACGGUACCUAAUCAGAAAGCCACGGCUAACUACGUGCCAGCAGCCGCGGUAAUACGUAGGUGGCAAGCGUUAUCCGGAAUUAUUGGGCGUAAAGCGCGCGUAGGCGGUUUUUUAAGUCUGAUGUGAAAGCCCACGGCUCAACCGUGGAGGGUCAUUGGAAACUGGAAAACUUGAGUGCAGAAGAGGAAAGUGGAAUUCCAUGUGUAGCGGUGAAAUGCGCAGAGAUAUGGUGGAACACCAGUGGCGAAGGCGACUUUCUGGUCUGUAACUGACGCUGAUGUGCGAAAGCGUGGGGAUCAAACAGGAUUA
rnacentral:rRNA from 1 species